AGUUACUGCCACCGACAUGAAAUGUGCUCAAUCAUGAAUUGAAUACACCAUGAAUACAACAAGGAUACCUCUUUUAAUCUUACACCUCCUGUUUUGGGAGGCACUGAUGAUACAAAGACAGAAGGAGAGGAGACAAGCAACAAGCAUCAAGUGCUAAGCAAAGCCUCCCCUCCAGUUGAUCACAUGUCUUCAGCCACCCAAAGGCAGCCAGAUAGGUCCUUGCAUUUCUGGCAUUUCUUCAACCACAUCUUCCAGCUCCUCUUGGGGACAUUUCCAGGCCAAAUGUGACAUGAAAUCCCUCCAGUGUGUUUUGGAUCUGCCCCAGGAUCUCCUCCCAGUUGGAAAUGCCCAGAAUACCUCAACAGGGAGGCGACUGAGAGGCGCGUAAUCAGAUGCCCAGACCACUUUAACUGGUUUGAUUGAUGAGUGUACAUGUUAACAUUAAGUGGCCCACCAAAGAAAAU